AACUCAAUGAAUAAAGUGUGAUGACUGAAUGUUCACACUUAUGUGUAACAUGUGCCUCCCUCAAAAGUUUGUCCUGAAACAAGCACAUUGCCCAUCUGAUA